rnacentral:snRNA from 1 species
GGAUAUGAGGGAUAUCUGGCCGGCACAGCUGUUGUGUCAUUGACCACUGGCUAGGUGUGUAUCUGUCCUCCUUCCCCUCUCCGUGUAUGUCCCUCCAGAAGGUGGGCGCUCCGUCAAAGAGGACAGACUUGCCCAAUAGAGGAAGACUGUUUUUCAGCUGUCAGGGGUAUAGGAGCAGCUGCGUUCCCCCAUUAGCACCUCUAAAUAAGCUGUCAAGAAAGUUCAAAGAAUUAGCUAUAAACAAGAAAAAGUAA